GACGAACCGUGCGAACGUUGUUCGGAUUCACUGGGCUUAAAAGGGCGCGUAGGCGGGCGACCAAGUCCGGGGGUGAAAUCUUUCGGCUCAACCGGAAGAGUGCCUUGGAUACUGGUUGCCUCGAGGGAGGUAGGGGCAUGCGGGAACUUCCGGUGGAGCGGUGAAAUGCGUAGAUAUCGGGAGGAACACCUGUGGCGAAAGCGGCUCACUGG
rnacentral:rRNA from 1 species